UACAGAGGGGGCAAGCGUUGUUCGGAAUUACUGGGCGUAAAGGCGCGUAGGCGGCCUGCUAAGUCGAACGUGAAAUCCCUGGGCUCAACCCAGGAACUGCGUCCGAUACUGGUUGGCUUGAAUCCGGGAGAGGGACGUGGAAUUCCAGGUGUAGCGGUGAAAUGCGUAGAUAUCUGGAGGAACACCGGUGGCGAAGGCGACGUCCUAGACCGGCAUUGACGCUGAGGCGCGAAAGCCAGGGGAGCAAACGGG
rnacentral:rRNA from 1 species